AAAUAAUUUUUGCAUUCAAAUGAAUAAAUGUCUCAUUUCUCUCCAAAAAACUAUUAAAAACUAGAGUCGGUCCGCGCGAAAUGCUGUCUUUGUUCUUAUGUGAAGAUGACUAAUUUCCUGAGGUUAAAGGUCUGGAGAAAUUUGUAUUUGUGACACAGUAUAUUGUGGGACAAUUUAGCUAUAUAAAAAUCAUGUUAGUUGGAAUCUUAUAGUUACAGAAAGAUUCAUGCUAAAGAUCAAUAUCUGACAAUUUAGCUAUAUAAAAAUCAUGUUAGUUGGAAUCGUCUUAGCCUUGAAGCAUUCAAAUUUUUUUGAGCAUGUUAAACUUUGUUACGACAUCAAAAAUAUUGACAACUUUGAUUCCAGGAGUUCAUGAAAGAAAAUCUGAGUCAGUAUUAUAAGUAAAAAAAAAAGAUCAAACAAUUUACAGAAAGAAAGUUCACUGAAUCAUUCAGCAUGAGAAACACUACAUUCUUUAGUUACAAUACCUAUAAUAAUAUUCCCAUGGAAAUCAUAACGUACUCUGUAGACCCAUAUUCUCUAGUGAUUGGUUUUCUUUUCUUGAGCUUCUUCGGGAGCUUAGAUUGUACGACACUCACAUCCCCGAGAUUACCAAAGUUUGUCUCCAUGUUAAGCCAAUCUUCCAAUAGUGUAGCUCAUGCAUCUUUCAAUUCUAAUGCAGAAUCUUUGUAGUAGCUGUUGGCUCUCUCGAAAAUAGCUGAGCAGAAGAAAGAAAAUAGAGAGAGA